rnacentral:rRNA from 1 species
GCGUUCCUACGGGAGGCAGCAGUGAGGAAUAUUGGUCAAUGGGCGCGAGCCUGAACCAGCCACGUCGCGUGAGGGAUGACGGCCCUACGGGUUGUAAACCUCUUUUGCCGGGGAGCAACGGGCGCCACGUGUGGCGCCACUGAGAGUACCCGGAGAAAAAGCAUCGGCUAACUCCGUGCCAGCAGCCGCGGUAAUACGGAGGAUGCGAGCGUUAUCAGGAUUUUUUGGGUGUCAAGGGUGCGUAGGCGGCGCGUUAAGUCAGUGGUCAAAUUGAGGGGCUCAAC